CUCCCAGUCAAGCUGUUGUCAGUUGCGCCUAGGCAGGGGUCAGGCGCAGUCAAUCAGCUGUUUAGUGAUUGUUGUAACCAUAGGUCGAAGUUUGUUUACUACCGGUACUACAGUUUACGUCAUGGGAGGUCUUGGCGUAACUGCAGUUAUAUGUGCAGCAGUGAUCUUCAGUCAACGAGCGGAGGCGUGGUCAUGGCAGUGUGUCAACAAGUUGUGUGUCCGAGGAGACAACCCGGACAACCCAGACCCGUCCAACUCCCUGGAGCAGUGU